rnacentral:lncRNA from 7 species
AUGGUAACAUGCAGCAUUAUCUCAUUUCUUUCAGGGGUGGAUGCUGGGAAAAACACAAGGGCUGUGCUUCAGGAGUUUCUGCAGGUGCACUUCACCCUAGUGAUCGCAGUGCUUGUAACUGUGCUGCUGUCUGGGCUGGUGAUGACCUGUAUUGCUGUGUCGUGGAUGUGGCACAAAUAUCCAGUGUGCAAGAGGGCAGAGACAGCUCCAGGACAAGCUCAUCCUGAGAGUGACCGGGAGAGAGGCCAAUCUGGAGGUGAAGGCAGAGCGGAGCUGGGAGAGGCAACAGAAGAUGCCGUAGUUGCCCAAGAAAAGAAGAAUGUGUCCAGCGGAUCCAGCCCGUUCCCCUCCUCCUUUGAAGCGGAGUUUGAACAGCUGUGCAGCAAAAUCCGCACAGACCCUUCCCUUUGGCCCACGUGUCCCAGCAGCUCUCCCACGGACGGCGUCUCUUCCCCAGAUGCCCGCGGUUCUCGGGGUUCCCCAUAGCCAUCUAGUGCCCCGGUUACCUGUGUCAGCAGGGCUGGGGUCCCCUGGAAGACCCCGCUUUGUGAGUAAUAAAGACACCCUGUGCAAAAGCAGCUGUUUUGAGCAUUUCCAUGGGGUUCUAGUGCAUAGGGAAGGGCUGGGGAGGCUUGAUAUGUGAAGAGUUGUCCUUGAGCUCUUCUAGGCUCCUGCCCUGAAUCAGGGCAGGCGGCGAGGGAAGGAAGCAGCUGGAAGGGGGAGUUUCCAGCACUGAGCACCUGUGGGAGAAACUACGUGGUAGCAAAGGCUACCAGUACAAUGCUUACGCCUGCAGGUGAAGAGGCGACAGCCUGCCCUAUGGCAGUCCUAGAUUAGAAGUCACAGAAAUCAUCGUACGAGUCGUCAUAGAAGUCACGGAAUGGCGUGGAUUGGAAGGGACCUCAAGGACCUUCGGGUUCCAAACGCCAACCAAGCAAUGGGUUCUAGGGGACCCAUUGGAAUUAAGGUGCCGGUUUUGACAAGUGGAAAUGUGUCGUUCAGGAGUAUAGGAGCGAUCCGCUCGGGGUCGCUGAAAGAUUUGAAACGACACUAAAAGCAGCAUCCUGACUGGGCGGAUAUAGACGCGAUGCUGGGUGAGUUCACCGGGACGGAAGAGCAAUGAAUUCUGAAAACGGCUAGGACUCACGUCCAGGCUCAAGUGAGUGCCCGAAGGGCCUCACCCAAAGGCCUGCAAGGGCAGAUGGAGGGUUUUGUCCUCCGUUUUGUUUUGGAAAGGCCAUAGAUGAGUUCAGGAUCUAAGAGCAAUAGAUAAGAUUGUGGAAGCUUUACAGCCAGUAGCUGCAAACCCCUAUACACUGUUAAGUAGACUCAAGCCAGAAAGGAACUACUUGAGAGUGUUAGGUCUGAAAGAUGCCUUUUUGUGCCUCCCUUUGGCUGCAGCACGUCAAAAAUGGUUUGCAUUUGAGUGGGAAAACCCGGAUUCGGGAAGAAAAGCUCGGUUACCCUGGGCAGCGUUACCCCACACAAGGGGUAACAAGGUCAGCGCAAAGUCGGAGAUGGUGUUACCGCUUAUCGGGACAUAAUAGAAGCACAGCCUCUGCCAGCUGGGACAUCAGCACAGAAGGCAGAAAUGAUUGCUCUGAUGAGAGCCCUCAAGCUGGCUAAAGGCAAAAGAGCUAAUGUCUGGUCUGCUUCUAAGCAUGCUUUUGGUGCUGUACACAGUCAUGGGGCUAUGUGGAAAGGAGGGGGGCUGUUACCAACUCGAGGGAAAGGAAUCAAGCACACUCCUGAGAUCUGGGAGUUGAUAGAAGUGCCUGAGAAGGCGUGAGAAACUGCAAGAAAGCACUGCGGAAGUCAUCCGAAAGGUACGAGUGCAGGAGGAUGGAGAAAUGAUUUGGCAGAUGAAGCAACCAAAAGGGUGGCAGGAGAGGAGAGGGGAGAAGGGAAAGGGGAAAAGUUGCAUGCGUCCGGCGCCACCCGAGAGGAAUCCGGCCCCCCCUUCCUCCCGCAGUCCCCGGAGCGCUGCCAGGCCGCCCUUAGCAACGUGACGCCGCAGGUGGUUGCUAGGGGCGGGCCAGGAAGUGGUUUGUGGCGGCGGAGAGCACUUCCGGGGCAGCGCGGCAUGGCGGCGUCGGCUUCGGCUUCGGCGGCGGGCGGGCGGUGAGUGGGGCCGGGCGGAGCGGGUUGUGUCCUGGGCACGGGGUCGGGCUUCAGUCCGGGGGCAUGGAGGGGCCGUCGGGGGAGGAGCUGGUGGUGCUGCCGGCAGCCGGAGGCAGGUCCCGGCUCGCAGGCGGGCUGCGUGGCCUGUUGAGGGCUGUGGGUGCCGGAGCGCAGGCCGGGGCGAGCGGGGCGGCUCCCAGGCGGCGCCGCGGCUGCGUUGGGCAGGGCGGUGGCAGCCCCGUGCUCCGUCGUGCGGCGGGAGCUGUCGUGCUUUGUCGCUCUUCGCUGGUCCGUGGAGGGGAAGCUGGCGUGUCGCUUGCUCUCGUUGUUGUUUGUGUGUUGUUUCCGUGGUGGCGGGCCUUGGAGAUGGCGUCGGGAAGCGCGGGGCUCCGUCCGGAUGGGAAGUUUUGCUUUUGGCGUCGCUCUGUGGAGUUUUGCUUCAGGCCCGGAGCGCGACAGCACGAAGCUGUGGGUGGCGGGGCCUGAUGGUGCAGCAAGGAUGGCAACGGCAUCGUCUUCCUGUGGUGUUCCCCAGCAAAGCCUCGAGGCAGAGCCUGAGCCCCCCUCUUCCCCCGUCCGCCUGGCUUCUGUGGCGCGGCUCUGGCUGUGCUCUGCUGCGCUCUGCGGUGCAGCAGGAAGGCCUCCCUUUGUUUGCCAGUAGGUCGGUCCCCGUAACGUCCUGAUAGCGACAUGGCACAGUUAAGAAAUAGUGCGAGUCAGCAUGGGAGGUGCUGUCCUGGAGUUGUUUUGCCUCCUCCUGCUGGCGUGUUCCAGAGGCAGAGGGAGGCAUGCGGGCAGAGGCAAUGUGCACGGUGCCAGCAAGUGCUGCGGGGCACGGGGGGCAGCUUCCUCUCAGGGAAGGACGUGCAAGUGUAAAGCUGUGAGUACCGGCUAGGGAUGCUGCCUUGAAGUAAGCGCAGAGGGCGGCGUGCCUGAUGCCAAGCCGUGACUCGCCGGUGUGCUGUGGUCCCUGUAACGCUGAAGUGCAGCCAGCUGGUUUGCCUAAAGUUGCAGCUGUGGACUGGGCAGGUCUGGGAGCCCGUUUUGAGUGGGGACAUGAUUUGUUGCUUUAGUUGAGAGAGAUGAGCAGAAGGAGUGGCGCUCGUGCAGGACGCAAGCGCGGUGUGCUGUGCCAUCUGUGAGCUUCUGGCAGAGGCAGGUGGUGAAAGUGGCCGUGGUUGCUGCUUGGCAGCCUACGUGAGAGCUGUGAGUGCUGGUCACGCGGUUGGGAUUGGUCGCGCCUGAACCUGAAGGAAAGUGGGGAAAAGAAGGGUGCCUUGUGAGCUCUGAGGAGGGGAUUUUGUGUUUUCAUGGCGUACGAAUGCGUUCCCUUUUCUGAUGUGUUUUUGUGCGUUGGUGUUUCAGGUGUGUGAGUGAGGACUCCGCGCUGGAAUUUGUACCGAGAAGAGCCCAGGUGAGGAAUGGAGCAACGUGCCUUGGUGCUGUGUUUGACUGGGGGAGCGGGCAAGGAGGAAUGUUUGUAAAGGUGUAGUUGCUCUGGAUUUCACUGAGCGGGACGAGUCUGGGCUGAAGUUUUCUGUGAUUCUGUUUGUUGCGUCGUAACGGCUGCCUCGGUAGAUUGGAGGGAGGGAGGGAGUGAGGGAGGGAGAGGGAGAUUUUAAAGC